UACGGAGGGUGCAAACGUUGCUCGGAAUCAUUGGGCGUAAAGCGCACGUAGGCGGUCCAGAAGGUCGGGUGUGAAAGCCCUCGGCUCAACCGGGGAAGUGCAUUCGAAACCACUGAACUUGAGUAUGGAAGAGGGUCGCGGAAUUCCCGGUGUAGAGGUGAAAUUCGUAGAUAUCGGGAGGAACACCAGUGGCGAAGGCGGCGACCUGGGCCAAUACUGACGCUGAGGUGCGAAAGCGUGGGGAGCAAACAGG
rnacentral:rRNA from 1 species